rnacentral:rRNA from 1 species
GACGUAGGAGGCGAGCGUUGUCCGGAGUUACUGGGCGUAAAGGGCGCGCAGGCGGCCCGGUGCGCCGGGGGUGAAAGGCGGUGGCUCAACCACCGGACGGCCCCCGGGACGGCCGGGCUGGAGGGUGGCAGAGGUCGGUGGAAUUCCCGGUGUAGUGGUGAAAUGCGUAGAGACCGGGAGGAACACCCGCGGCGAAGGCGGCCGGCUGGGCCAACCCUGACGCUGAGGCGCGAAGGCCCGGGGAGCGAACGGG